rnacentral:rRNA from 1 species
GGGCUACACACGUGCUACAAUGGCGGUGACAGUGGGAAGCUAGGUGGUGACACCAUGCUGAUCUCUAAAAGCCGUCUCAGUUCGGAUUGCACUCUGCAACUCGAGUGCAUGAAGGUGGAAUCGCUAGUAAUCCGGAUCAGCAUGCCGCGGUGAA